rnacentral:rRNA from 1 species
UACGAAGGGGGCUAGCGUUGCUCGGAAUCACUGGGCGUAAAGCGCACGUAGGCGGAUUGCUAAGUCAGGGGUGAAAUCCUGGAGCUCAACUCCAGAACUGCCCUUGAUACUGGCGGUCUCGAGUCCGGGAGAGGUGAGUGGAACUGCGAGUGUAGAGGUGAAAUUCGCGGAUAUUCGCAAGAACACCAGUGGCGAAGGCGGCUCACUGGCCCGGUACUGACGCUGAGGUGCGAAAGCGUGGGGAGCAAACAGG